rnacentral:rRNA from 1 species
GAUGAACGCUGGCGGCGUGCCUAAUACAUGCAAGUCGAGCGAACGGACGAGAAGCUUGCUUCUCUGAUGUUAGCGGCGGACGGGUGAGUAACACGUGGAUAACCUACCUAUAAGUCUGGGAUAACUUCGGGACACCGGAGCUAAUACCGGAUAAUAUUUUGAACCGCAUGGUUCAAAGGUGAAAGACGGUCUUGCUGUCACUACUCGAUGGAUCCGCGCUGCAUUAGCUAGUUGGUAAGGUUACGGCUUUCCAAGGCAACGAUGCAUAGCCGACCUGAGAGAGUGAUCGGCCACAUGGGAACUGGAACGGGGUCCAUACUCCUACGGGAGGCAGCAGUAGGGAAUCUUACGCAAUGGGCGAAAGCCUGACGGAGCAACGCCGCGUGAGUGAUGAAGGUCUUCGGAUCGGAAAACUCUGUUAUUAGGGAAGAACAUAUGUGUAAGUAACUGUGCACAUCGUGACGGUACCUAAUCAGAAAGCCACGGCUAACUACGUG